GAUGAACGCUGGCGGCGUGCCUAAUACAUGCAGGUCGAGCGAACGGACGAGAAGCUUGCUUCUCUGAUGUUAGCGGCGGACGGGUGAGUAACACGUGGAUAACCUACCUAUAAGACUGGGAUAACUUCGGGAAACCGGAGCUAAUACCGGAUAAUAUUUUGAACCGCAUGGUUCAAAAGUGAAAGACGGUCUUGCUGUCACUUAUAGAUGGAUCCGCGCUGCAUUAGCUAGUUGGUAAGGUAACGGCUUACCAAGGCAACGAUGCAUAGCCGACCUGAGAGGGUGAUCGGCCACACUGGAACUGAGACACGGUCCAGACUCCUACGGGAGGCAGCAGUAGGGAAUCUUCCGCAAUGGGCGAAAGCCUGACGGAGCAACGCCGCGUGAGUGAUGAAGGUCUUCGGAUCGUAAAACUCUGUUGUUAGGGAAGAACAUAUGUGUAAGUAACUGUGCACAUCUUGACGGUACCUAAUCAGAAAGCCACGGCUAACUACGUG
rnacentral:rRNA from 1 species